GAGGGUAUAGCUUAAGUAGUAUAGCACAUGCUUAGCAUGCACGAGGUCCUGGGUUCAAUCCGCAGUACCUCCU
rnacentral:tRNA from 1 species